rnacentral:rRNA from 1 species
AUCAUGGCUCAGAAUGAACUUUGGCGGCGUGGAUUAGGCAUGCAAGUCGUACGCAUAGCUUCGGCUAUGAGUGGCGCAAGGGUGAGUAAUGCGAAGGUAACCAACCCUGGUGUUGGGCAUAGCCGCGGGAAACUGCGGGUAAUUCCCAGCGACGUCACGAGAUGGCAUCAUCUUGUGACCAAAGGUGUGAUUCCGCUCUAGGACGGGCCUUCGUGGUAUUAGGUAGUUGGUGAGGUAACGGCUCACCCAAGCCGACGAUGCCUACCCGGGUGUGAGAGCAUGACCCGGCACACUGGAACUGAGACACUGUCCAGACACCUACGGGUGGCUGCAGUCGAGAAUCUUCGGCAAUGGGCGAAAGCCUGACCGAGCGACGCCGCGUGAGGGAUUGAAGGCCUUCGGGUUGUAAACCUCUUUCGUAGAGGAGGAAGGGGCCGUGAAGAACGGUCUUUGACCUAUUCUAGGAAGAAGCUUGGGCUAAGUUCGUG